AAGUUCAUGGGCCCGCCGCUGGGCUUGCCUGCGUGCAGCCUUUUGGUCGCUGAUUGUAUAACAGCAGCAGUCAUGUCAAGCUGCCAUUCCAGGAGGAAAUGACAGCAGUUUCCUUGCUUCUUGCAAAUCCAUCCCAAAUUUCUAUUAAAGACAUCAAAGCUAUGAUUCUAAUACUUUCCAUGCUUUUUACAUGACUCAUCUUUUAAAGAAGCUGCUGGGAAAUAAGGCAUCACCAAGGUUCCUUAAUUUCAGGGUUUGAGACUUUUAAAAAUCUAAUGGAAAAAGUGAAAUCAAAUAGCCACAAAUCCACCAUCUCAUAAAACUUUUCUCCAUAUUUUUUAUACUCACAUUAUUUGCUGUGCUACUAGUUUGAGUUGGUUUUACAAGCUACAAUGCCAGAAGAGAAAGCAGAUCCUCAGUCUAGUUGUCCGCUUCAUGAUCUUAGUUCCAUGGAAGGUAAGUUAGGUCAUCAAAUGUAAUUAUUGUCACCACUGCUGGAAGAUGAUGGCCAAGGCAACAGCUUUUAAAUAGGUUAAUGGAUGGCUGCAUCUAGAGCUACUAGUGAAAUAAGGGAUUCUCUGCUGGAAACAAAGGGAUUUCUGGGAAAGAAGUUUCCAUUCAGCAGAAAUAGCAUUUUGGAAAUCUGACUCUUACCCAGUUGUAAGAAUGGGCAAGGUCUCCAAAUUUUUAAAUGCUUGCUGCAUUUCUAAUGACUCUGGAUGUGGUGGGAGGGAUUGCUGCUGACUUCAGCAGGAAGAGAGCUGGAGAUUAGCCAUGGGUUAGAAGCUUGUUGGGUUAUAGCUACAGUCAGUUCUGUUGAAGAAUGUUUAAUUUAUUUCCAUAGCAUUUGCUUAUUACUUGCUUAUUACAAUUAUUUUUUCUAAUGCAGAGCUCUAGGAAGUGAGCUUGUUACACUACAGUAUCUGAAAGGAAUGGCUGAGCUGCCAUUCAGUGUCCACAGGUGCUUAGACUAGCUGGCCUCAGGAGCAAGUCAGGCCUCAGGUUCACAAGACUUCUCCCAUCACACAGAAAAACAGCAACUGGAAGCUCUCCUGGCUCACCUACAGCAUCUCAGCUUACUGCUGCUUCUCUGGCAUAGUGGGAAGAAAGCAUGGCUCUAAGAGAGGAGCUCAAACAGGAAGCAGCGACAUUCCAGAGAGAUUUCCGAGUCAAACAGGAGAGCAACUGGUUUCUCAAACUGUUUUCCGAAGUGCCUGCGCUGGAGGGCUGUGCGGCGGUGUCUGCCUGCCAUCUGGCGUCCGGCGCUCCGCAGCGGCUGCGGCAGGGAAGGGAUGCCGCCGAAACAUUCCCGAUGUCACCUCGGCCCUGACAGCAGCCCUGGUGAAAUGGCAACCUCUGGUGUGCGGCCAAGCCGUGAGUAAAUCCUGCCCAGACGCCCGAGGCCCCCCGCCACGGUAUCUCCCGCAUUCCUGCGGUGGAGCUGGUAUUUCUCAUUGUUCUCCUGCUCUCUCGGGGAGCAGCUGCAAAUGCUUGGCCGGCCUGCCGGGGCAGGAGCUGCCUGAGUGCCGUGCAGUGGGUCCUGGUCUUUAGCCACGGGCCUUGGAAAAAUCGAGUCACUCUUGUAGCGCUUCUUUGGCAUGUGGGGAGUCAGGGCUGAUCAAGAGGGGCAAGUUAAAAACAAGAAAAGAACAGAAAACGGGAGGGGUAGUGGCUGGGCAGCCCCGUUAGCCUGGCAGUGGCGCGUGCGGUGCGUGCUGUGCCCCGGGCUCGCUGCCCAGCUUUCUGACCGCACAGCGGUGCUGGCUUGUUGCCCCAGAGCACGUCUAAUGCGCUGAGUGACAAAUGCCUGCUAACUCGGGGCGCUGUCAGCUUGCUCGCAUCCAGCAGCAGUGGGACUGAACGGCCAGAGUCUGGGUGAGAGGAGGAAAUGGCAGCAGAGGCCUCCUCGGGCAAGCAGGGCUGGUGCGGCGCUCCGUGGAGCGAGGGCGGAAGCGCUAGGGAGCAGCCCUGCCUGGCCAUGGCUUUUAGCACCCACUGGGGUUUCCUUUUUUCCUUUAAUGAGCUGAUUCUCGUACCGCCCCCAUGCCCUGCGCUAGCCCUUGGUUGCUCAUUCACUUGGAAAUGUGAUUUCAAGGAAUAUCUGCUCUGGAGUUUUGCCUGCCAGCAGGGAGGAUUUCCCAGCCUGACAUGGCCUGAGGACAGCUGCUGGUUUGGCGCUGGCCAUGUGCAAGGGCGGCAGCAACGGAGCCCUGAGGAAACUGCUGCAAACCUGGAAAUAAAGAAGGCACCAGCACUGGCGUGCAGAGCGGUUGUCAGGCACCUUUCUUCUGCAAGAGGGGCCGCGUAUGGCUGUGCGGAGCCCAGCAGCCAGUGAUUUAUGCCCAGCUGCCUCCUGUUUCCACAUCUACAAAAAAAAGGAAUGGAGCAAGCAUGGAGAGGCUCUGGUUUUGGGACCUACCAGGUAGCCUGAGACAGAACAGGCAGAAACGAUCUCUCCUGGCUGCCUCCGAAGCUGCUCUCUGUUACCCAGGGAAAGGCUGUUACGAUACCGUUGCACAAGUUAUUUCGGCGCUAAGCGACACGAGCAUCUGCAGAGGGUAAAGGCUUGUGGAAAUUCCUGUAUUCUCCAAGGCUCUGAAACCACUUACGAGCGGCAGCCCUGCGGAAGUGCCGACUGCUUCCAAAACCCUGUCGUGCCCAAGUUUGACACCCCGUCUGAGGUGCUGGCGUGUUCCCGUUAGACUUGUUGGUCAAGUCAGGUAAAAGGACACAGGCACAGCCCUGACCCUGUAAAAGGAUCAUGAAACGCCUCUUGGCUCACAUGUGCUCAGCUGAGAAGACAGAAGACCCAAAGCAAACAAGGUCAUUAAGUCACUGAAGGCCAAGUACAGUGAUGACAGCAGCAAGGCUAAUUCCACCAUCGGCAGAAGGUAAAACUGAAUCUGGCAGACAAAGAUGAUGGAGGUCUCCAGUGCAUUUUACCGAUGUUGCAAGAACAGCAGCGGUAGCUUUACGUUGCCCUCUUCAAGGCUCCGCAGGCGCAGAUGAAAACAGGACAUGAAACCAGACAAGCUGGUAAACAGCAGCAACUGGCACUCACUGAUGCCAGUCUGCCCCUCACUAAGGAAGAAUGUAUUUGAGCACUAACCCCACCACACAAAGAGCAACGGAUGGACAAAGGAAAAACAAAA